rnacentral:lncRNA from 1 species
CCCGAUGUCCAUGAGCGCGAACACCAUGAUCUUCAUGAUUCUGGGGGCGUCGGUCGUGAUGGCCAUCGCGUGCUUGAUGGACAUGAACGCGCUGCUGGACCGAUUCCACAACUACAUCCUCCCGCACCUGCGGGGCGAGGACCGCGUCUGCCACUGCAACUGUGGCCGGUGAGUCCACAACCGGCGCCGGCUCGACACGCGUGAGCGCACAUGUGUGGCGGGGCCCACUCGGGGCGCGGGGGAACCAGCCCCACGCAGGCCGCGAGCCGCCUUCCACCCUUGAGGGCUGCCAGGUGCGCAGGGGGAGGAGCUGUCUCAAGGUGGGCGGGGGUCUCCUGGGGGCGCAUGGCUUUAGGACGCCGUUCCUAGAGGCCUCCAGGGUGAUGGCGGAAUGGGUCACGGGGCCUCCUGGUCCAGCCUGGAGGCCGGAAAGCCGCAGCCCAGUGUGAUGUCCACAGUGGAGACCCAAGCCAGCCUCAUCAGGGCUGGGGCAGGAAGCGCCUGCUGGCACAGGGCUGGGCCCUGCACUGAGUCCCUGGGCAGGGGAAUGCAGGUCAAGGCGGGAAGGGCCUGCCUUGAGGGGCACUGGGCACCACCCCCGGGCUGGAGAGGAGCUGAGGGAUGGGCUGGGGGGGCAGCGGGGAGGUGGAGCUUCCUCAAGGUCAUUCAGAUUGAGGGGAGCGCCCAGACCCCCCGCACCCACCGUGUGACCCCCUCUGUGCACGUGUAGCGAUGGGAUCCUCUUGGCCAUGCAUGUUUGUACGUCCAUGUACGAAAUAAACAUCUUCUCAUGAGA